AAAGCGCACGGAGGGACAGCAGUGAUAGUCAGAAACGAUAUCAAACAUUAUCUACACAGCCAAGUUAAUAAGGAAUAUUUACAAGCAACCACCGUUACAGUUCAAACUAGCAGCAACUACUUCCAGUUGUCAGCAGUAUAUGUGCCUCCGCAACACAAAAUAACAUCACAAAUGUGGGAAGAAUACUUCCAGGACCUAGGCGACAAGUACAUCGCAGCGAGUGACUACAACUCAAAGCACACGCUAUGGGGAUCAAGAAACACUACACCUCGCGGCAGAACACUGGAAAAAUAUGAAGUGGAACACCGACAUAUUGGCCGAAUGACCUGAACAAAAAACCAGAUCUUCUGGACUUUGCAGUUACAAGGGGACUAAACACAAACAAACUAAAAAUAACACCCAACCUCGAGCUUAGCUCCGAUACACCCAUAAUAAUUGAAUACAGAAACAAACCAAUACUUUAUAGCAAACCAGAAACACUAUGCAAUAAAACCACCAAAUGGCAAACUUUCAAAGAAAUAAUAGAAAGCAAAAUAAACUGCAACAUCCCGUUGAAAACUCCUGAACACAUAGAACAGGCAGUAGCAACAUUGACAGCAACUAUUCAAGAAGCAGCAAGGACAACCACUACACCCGAAUCAACCAGCAGACAAACAAUAACAAUUCCGCAAGAAAUACUCGACAAAAUUAGAGAAAAAAGAAAAGCGAAAGCAAAAUGGCAAAAACACAGAACUCGAGAAAACAAAAAACACCUAAACAAACUUGCAAAGGAAAUAAAAAACAAAAUAAAAGAGCACAACAAUAACGAAUUCGCAAAGUUCAUAGGGACACUCUCUACACACGAGAACACCAACUACUCCCUAUGGAAAGCCAUGAAAAAAAUAAAGAAGCCAAUAAUACCCGUCCCAGCUAUCAGAAAAUCAGAUAACACAUGGGCAAGAAGCAACGCAGAACAAGCUGAAGAAUUCUCCAACCACCUCUGCAACACAUUUAUACCACACAUUAUCAACAACAGCAACCUCAAAAGUCAUACGGAGGAGGAUGCGCAAACCACUAUUAUCACAAUAAGGAAUACACCAUACCUAAAACAACAGCACAAGAAAUUAGAAACAUAAUUGAUAAAACAAAAAACAACAAGGCACCAGGAAUCGACCUAAUCAAUGGCAAAAUCUUGAAAAACCUUCCGCCAAAAGCAAUAAGACUAAUGACAAUAAUAUUCAAUGCAAUUCUAAGAAUUCAAUACUUCCCCAAACAAGUUACAAGUUAAAAAUUAAUAAUAACCACGUAAAAAUUCUGCCGA
rnacentral:misc_RNA from 1 species